CCCAGUGGGAGAAGAGGGGCUGGCUCUGAGACCCCGCCUCGCGGGGGGUGCCUCCUCCCCUGCGAUGGGGUUCCUAAGGUCCAGUGGGGGAGGAGGGGCUGGCUCUCUUUACCCGCCUCGCGGGGGGUGCCUGCUCCCCCUGCGACGGGGGUCCUAAAGGCCAGUUGGGAAGAGGGGCUGGCUCUGAGACCCCGCCUCGCUGGGGGUGCCUCCUCCCCCUGCGAUGGGGGUCCUAAGAGCCAGGGGGGUAAGAGGGGCUCGCUCUCAGUCCCCGCCUCGCCGGUCGUGCCUCCUCCCCCUGCGAUGCUGUUCCUAAGAGCCAGGGGGGGAAGAGGGGUUGGCUCUCAGUCCCCGCCUCACCGCGGGUGCCUCCCCCCCCUGCGAUGGGCUUCCUUAGAGCCAGGAGCAGAAGAGGGGCUGGCUCUCUGUACCCGCCUCGCGGGGGGUGCCUCCGCCCCCUGUGAUGAGGGUCCUAAGAGCCAGAAGGCUUAGAGGGGCUGGCUCUGAACCCACGCCUCGCGAGGUGCCUCCUCACCUUGCGAUCGGGGUUCCAAGAGCCAUGGGGGAAGAGGGGCUGGCUCUCUUUUUGGAUGAUUCUUUUUCCUUUCUCAGGCAGUUUUCUUUUUUCUUUCUUUUUUUUUUUUUUUUUGAGACUGAGUCUUGCUCUGUUGCCCAUGCUUUGCUGGAUCUCGGGUGACUGCAACCACUGCCUCCCAGGUUCAAGAGAUUCUCCUGCCUCAACCUCCUGAGUAGCUGGGACUAGAGGCGUGUGUCACCACACCCUGCUAAUUUUUGUAUUUUUAGUAGAGAUGGGGUUUCACCAUGUUUGCCAGGAUGGUCUCUAUCUCCUGACCUUGUGAUCCACCCACCUCAGCCUCCCAACGUGCUGGGAUUGCAGGUGCGAGCCACCGGGUCCAGCCUUUCAGGCGAUUUUCAUACCUGCAUACUCUGAUCACUACUCUGUUAAACAGUCAAGGAGGCUGAGUGCCACGUGCUGACAUCACUAAGAUCAAUACAGCAAACUCUGAAAGAUGGACAGAGAGAGAGGAGAUGGUCCUUUAUAAUGCAGUGUGAUCUGUGCUGCAAUAGAGGUGAGCACAAGGGCCUUACGAAGGCUCAGUGAAGAGCAUGCUUGACUGCAGGGGAGGGUACUUAGGUUAGAAAAGAUGAGUCGAAGUAUGUUCAUAGGGAGCAUGGGAU
rnacentral:lncRNA from 1 species